GGCUGGGAAAGCACAAACACGAACCUGCCAAAUGACAUGUAAGCAGGCACUGACAACACCCAAAAAUAUGCCAGACAUCUUUAUGGGACAAUUAGUCACAACAUUCAGACAAUAAUACAGUCACUAUGGAGAUUGGAUGAGACGGCCAGAAAAGAGAAGGGGGUAAGCUCGGACCACUAAAAAAUAUCAAGAGUGAGACAAUGCCGAAUUUCAGAUCUUGAAACUAAUAGUAUCAAAUUAAGUUUUCUGGGAAGGAGAACAAAGUCUCAUUCUUAAGAUAAAUGACAAUCAGAGAAAAACAGUUAGAAGUAGGUAAGUAACAUGUCUGAAUGCUCCACUUUCAAGAUGACCAGCUCAGUUGACAUGAUACGAGGGGAAGGGCAUAUUUUCAAAGUGAAGAACUUAACAAAGCACAAGGGUGAGACGAUGACAUGAGAAAAAAAGCAAGAAACAUGGGAAGCAGAAAUAUUCAACACCUCAGAAAUACAUUGUUUCCAGGCUUCUUUUUCUUCUUGCCCCAAUUUCCGCCAGCCCGCAAGCGCAGGGCAAACAAGGGGAAGAAAGCCCGGGGGGGGGGGGGGGGGGG
rnacentral:misc_RNA from 1 species